CUGCUGUGAUUACCUUCUUAGGACACCUUUGGAUACAACUAUGAAAAUAACUUGUAUCAGAGCAGC